rnacentral:lncRNA from 1 species
AAGAAAUUAUAGAACUACUAAAAAAUAUUUUAGUCUUGUUAAAAUGUGUGUUUUUUUUCUUUUAAAGGAUCAAGGCUGACAUGGCUUUCUCACUGAAGUACUAUGAGAGUCAUCUGCAGAGUUGGAGGUGGUGGGUUUCAACAGGCUUUUGAAAAUUAUCACAAGGGGCUCUCAGGUAAAGGCACAUACAGGAGAAGGAAGAGGUUGUUUUGCACUAAAAUACAUAAGUACAAUUUAAAAAUUGAGCUGCCUUCUAGGAAUGGAAAGACUCAGUCAUGGGCUUGGGCUCCCCAGUGGCAUUAGGAACACUAUGCGCCUACCUGCUCACAGAACUCUGUUUCAGUGGGUGGGGCAAGGAGAAAAUAUUUCCUUUAGGCAUACUAACACAAAAUCAAACCUGUUCUUGCAGUGAGCUUCAAAUGCUAGUAAGAGAAUGUGAUGACUGCAGUGGCAGAAGGCAGGAAAGCAGUUGGAAAAAGGCUGUCUAAAGAGACUAUAAGUAGCAGUUUCCCUAAAUAUACACAUGAUUCACCAUGUUCCAUGGAUGGGCUCUCAGGUAUGAUCUGCUCGCUGUCUACAUCAAGCAACUCUUCAGUCAUGAGUCAGAGAAAAUUUCUCUAAAUGAAAGUAUGGGCAGUGUCUAUGAAAGGGUCUAUGGACACUUCAGCUUUAUAGAGGUAUGGGCGCUGAGUCAUUUUGAUCAACAUGAAAGAAACACGUCUGCAGGUUGUGAGAGCUACCUUCAUGUGUUUUUGUAUUCAGGAUUCUCACUUGUCCCAGCCUAGUUUGUCAAGAAUGCCAACACUGAAGAUCAAAUAGCUUUAAGCUUAAAUAAACACAUUUCUUUACUUAAGUGAAUCGCAACUGAAUUAAGUUGAACUUUUUAAUUUGUUGUUAAGUCAUGUAAAAUGAGUUGCACUGGGCAUCUGAAAACUAAUUUUCUUUUUAUUUCUCUGUCAUAGAGAGAAGGCAUUUUGGUUGUAUUUGCUGUCAGUAUUAAUAACUGGACUAAUGGGACAAGGCACAUGGAGAUACUUUUACCUAGGGUCACCAAAGGGUAUAUUUUAACAAUGAGUAAUUGGUCUUUGCUCUCCAGACCUCAUAGCUGAUUUUCCUUUAGCUUCUGUGUCAUUCCUCAUCCCUUCUCCAUGUGUAAGGGUUUCAGUUUUCCUUCUUGCAUCAUCUGUUUUAAAGAGUUACAAGAUCAAGUAAUUCACAUUUUAAAACCCCCACUUUAUGCUAAUUAUAUCUUAAAAAUUCAGGAUAAUAUCAACAGAAAAGGAAUAAAUUACUAAUAUCUGAGUUUCAAGCAUUCAUGAUUGGGCAAGUGGGAGAUAAUUUGUAACAGAAUAUUUCACUGGCACCCUCAUAUUAUAUCACUUACUGUUUCACAAUAAUUUCCCUACCUCCACCACAGACCAUAAAGCAGAGGCAUGAAGAAGCCCUUCCUUUGUGAUGCUCAUGUCUAAGAUGAACCACAG